GCGAAAGAGAGCGCGAUACUUCCUGGCGAUUCCGGUACUAUCUGUGCCCUUCAAUGUGGUCUUCAGAUCGCACAUAAGAACACGUAGUCUAUCUGUAUAAGUCUAUGAUUUCGACAGGAAAAUUUAUACAGACUCAUAAAACGAACGAAUGCUUUUUGUCAUUUUUAAUCAGUGCAUUAACACUUUUUAUCUGAUUUUUUGUAAACAAGACAAUGGAUUAAAAUUAGGACCGAUUUUUUCGAAAAUAAAUAGAUUCAUCGUUUAAUUAAUUAACAAUUUGUCAAAAUACAUAGUUAAGCAUAGAAAGUUAUAGUUUAAGCAGUUAUGGUUAAGCAUAGGAAACAUAAAGUAUGUGAAAGGGUUAAUUAUAUCACCAACACUCGUGUGUAAAGAUUAAAGAAAUUAAACAACAUUCUUUCUCUUGAAAAGAACACCAA